GCUGGCGUAGCUCAAUUGGUAGAGCAGCUGACUUGUAAUCAGCAGGUUGCGGGUUCAAGUCCUGUCGCCAGCUCCA
rnacentral:tRNA from 1 species